ensembl:lncRNA
GCAGUUUCUGCCUGAGGUGGUCUGGGUAGGGUGGGAAUUGGCUGAGGUUCUGCAGAUCUAACAAGCACCCAGUGGAGCCCAGGGUGCUGCAUCCUGACUACACUUUGAGGAGACCUGGAAGAAACCUCCAUCCUCAAAGACUUGGAAAAGGCUGUCCUGGAGCCUGCGUGGAGGUUACAAAAAUCAUCCCUCUGGUGGUGGCCUGAGCAGAUUACUUCAACCCCAAUGUUGCCCUGAACGUUGCAUUCAAGAUUUGAGAAGAUUAGGACUGCUAAGAAAUGGUAUAGACCUAACAGAAGCAGAAGAUAUUAAGAAGAGGUGGCAAGAAUACAGAGAACUCUACAAAAAUGAUCUUCAUGACCCAGAUAACCAUAAUGGUGUGAUCACUCACCUAGAGCCAGACAUCCUAGAAUGCAAAGUCAAGUGGGCCUUAGGAAGCAUCACUAUGAACAAAGCUAGUGGAGGUGAUGGAAUUCCAGUUGAGCUAUUACAAAUCCAAAAAGAUGAUGCCGUGAAAGAAUUGCGUUCAGUAUUCCAGCAAAUAUGGAAAACACAGCAGUGGCUACCGGACUGGAAAAGGUCAGUUUUGAUUCUAAUCCCAAAGAAAGGCAAUGCCAAAGAAUGUUCAAACUACUGCACAAAUGCAUUAAUCUCAUAUGCUAGCAAAGUAAUGCUCAAAAUUUUCAAGCCAGGCUUCAAUAGUACAUGAAACAUGAACUUCCAGAUGUUCCAACUGGAUUUAGAAAAGGCAGAGGAACCAGAGAUAAAAAUUGCCAACAUCCAUUGGAUUAUGGAAAAGCAAGAGAAUUCCAGAAAACAUCUAUUUCUGCUUUAUAGACUAUGCGAAAGCCUUUGACUGUGUGGAUUACAACAAACUGUGGAAAAUGUUUAAAGGGACGAAAAUACCAGAGUCCACCUGACCUUCAUUCUGAGAAAUCUGUAUGCAGGUCAGGAAACAACAGUUAGAACUGGACAUAGAACAACAGACUGGUUCCAUAUUGGGAAAGGAGUACAUCAAGGCUGUAUAUUGUCAACCUGCUUAUUUAACUUAUAUGCAGAGUACAUCAUGAGAAAUGCUGGGCUGGAUGCAGCACAAGCUGGAAUCAAGAUUGCCGGGAGAAAUAUCAAUAACUUCAGAUAGGCAGAUGACACCACCCUUAUGG